UACGUAGGGUGCAAGCGUUAAUCGGAAUUACUGGGCGUAAAGCGUGCACAGGCGGUUAUGCAAGACCGAUGUGAAAUCCCCGGGCUUAACCUGGGAAUUGCAUUAGUGACUGCAUGGCUAGAGUGUGUCAGAGGGGGGUAGAAUUCCACGUGUAGCAGUGAAAUGCGUAGAGAUGUGGAGGAAUACCGAUGGCGAAGGCAGCCCCCUGGGAUAACACUGACGCUCAUGCACGAAAGCGUGGGGAGCAAACAGG
rnacentral:rRNA from 1 species